GCUCGGUUGGCGCAAUCGGUAGCGCGACGGUAUGAUAAGCCGCAGGUUGUGAGUUCGAGUCUCAUACUGAGCA